CCUGGCUCAUGCAUAAAACACUUCUCAGAUUGGCUGAGAAAUUGCAGUAUGUUGAGUCGAGCGUGUGGCCAAACUGUUUGGUUCUGAAAGAGGCAGUUGGCCACCCAUUUAUUUUACCUAGAAAACACAAGUAAAAGCAUCCCACCCUCUCUCAUGUAAAGUACAUGAGGUUAAUCAUGCAUAUUCACUGAGGGCCAAAUCCUAACAUACUGUAACAUAUGAGUGCAUAACUCAUAGUCUGCAUAUGCAUCAAUUAUACACGGCAGUGGUAUAUUUGCAAAAAAAGUUAAAAAGUUAACAAAUAUAUAUUUUUCUCAAUCAUGUGACACUCCUCAGGUGAAUCAGAGGACAUCGUAGAGAGGCUGUGUAACACCUGUGACCAUCUCCAUGGCGCCUUGGCCGAGCAAGGAAUGCUGGGCCAGUGUUGCAGGACUCAACCUGCAGCUCGCCAAACUCACCCUGGCUGCGCUGCACCAUCACCACGGAGAACAAGAUAUCUGCAUCAACAUCGCCAGGGUGUUCAGGACCUGGUGGUGCGUCUGCUCUUCACUCUGGGUAACCUAACAUCUCAGAGCAGUGAGGCCAGAGAGCACCUCUUCACAGCUGAGGGGUGUGUGUCCGUGCUGCUGGUGCUCUACAACACCUACGAGGGGAGGGGGGACCCCCCUACCGUACACACACCCACACACCUCCAGCCAGGGACACCCGUACACCCUGUACCUCUCCCGUUUGGGGGCGGGAGAAGGAGGACAUGCUGGUGAAGCUGGUUAGGGUGCUGUUCAUCCACCCUGCAGUGGGACCUACCCUGGCAGUUAAGAAGCACCUAGUACACGACCUGCUGAACACACUGAGGGAGUUUCAGUGUUUUUAGGGCUGGCAGACAGUGAGGGACUUUGGGCCAGCUGGCUGUCAGACCCUGUGGAACCUCACUGAGAAGGGGGGUGGGGACAGACUCCCCAUCCACACUGGACAACCAGGAGAGAGAGGCACUGCUUGAGGUCCAAACACUGUACCUAGACGAGGAGGAAGCGCUGCAGUGGACCUCUGGUGAUUACAUGAGGGACUUCCACUGAGCAUUCUGGGAGUCAGAGUUCUGUCCUGUGGCUCAGAGGCUGAGGGACAGGAUCCAGACUCAGACUGUCAGCCAUCUACUCAGUCUCCCUCCCUAAAGUGUGAUGUUCUAGCCUUUCUUCUUGUUGUGCCCUGCAAGCAUCCUGUGACAGUCUCUUCUCCAGUGUCAGUCUGUACUCAACACACUUUACCUUCCGGUUCCACCACUCUCUCUAAUACCAUUAGUAAGGCCCUGACCAGGGACAACUCUGGGACUUAGUUAUAGGCUGUUACUUGGGUUUAGAGUGUUUUCUUAGUCAGGAAAACCUCUUGGCCUUAGCUAUGACAUAUGGAUUGUUGAGUCUCUGACUUGUAUGACAAACUGUUGUUUUCCCUUUAAAUAACAAAUUGUUGUACCAUACUGUAACUGGUAAUGUAAUAAUAUCAUAAGCUACUCUUACAUAUGACAAUAAUUGUAAAUUGCGUCUGUGGUGAUAAAAAGUUAAGACAAUGUUAAUCUGUGAACUGCUGUAAGUAAAUAAAC
rnacentral:lncRNA from 1 species